AUUGAACGCUGGCGGCAGGCCUAACACAUGCAAGUCGAACGAGUGGCGGACGGGUGAGUAAUGUCUGGGCAACUGACCGAUGGAGGGGGAUGACUACUGGAAACGGUAACCAAUACCGCCUAACAUCGGCUCUGCCCAGAUGGGAUUAGCUAGUAGGUGGGGUAACGGCUUACCUAGGCGACGAUCCCUAGCUGGUCUGCGAGGAUGAACAGCCACACGGGGACUGAGACACGGCCCAGACUCCUACGGGAGGCAGCAGUGGGGAAUAUUGCACAAUGGGCGCAAGCCUGAUGCAGCCAUGCCGCGUGUAUGAAGAAGGCCUUCGGGUUGUAAAGUACUUUCAGCAGGAAGGCGUUACCCGCAGAAGAAGCACCGGCUAACUCCGUGCCAGCAGCCGCGGUAAUUC
rnacentral:rRNA from 1 species